GAUGAACGCUGGCGGCGUGCCUAAUACAUGCAAGUCGAGCGAACAGACGAGGAGCUUGCUCCUCUGACGUUAGCGGCGGACGGGUGAGUAACACGUGGAUAACCUACCUAUAAGACUGGGAUAACUUCGGGAAACCGGAGCUAAUACCGGAUAACAUGUUGAACCGCAUGGUUCAACAGUGAAAGACGGUCUUGCUGUCACUUAUAGAUGGAUCCGCGCCGCAUUAGCUAGUUGGUAAGGUAACGGCUUACCAAGGCAACGAUGCGUAGCCGACCUGAGAGGGUGAUCGGCCACACUGGAACUGAGACACGGUCCAGACUCCUACGGGAGGCAGCAGUAGGGAAUCUUCCGCAAUGGGCGAAAGCCUGACGGAGCAACGCUGCGUGAGUGAAGAGGGUCUUCGGAUCGUAAAACUCUGUUAUUAGGGAAGAACAAAUGUGUAAGUAACUAUGCACGUCUUGACGGUACCUAAUCAGAAAGCCACGGCUAACUACGUG
rnacentral:rRNA from 1 species